rnacentral:lncRNA from 10 species
AGAACUUUCUGCUAGCUCUCUAAAGGAAUGAAAAUAACCUUGGGUUCUCACUAAGCAUCAAUUCUGUGACUGGCUCUGUGGGGUAGAGAUGAAAAGGCUCACUCAGUUCCAGCCCCUGCAGAUCCCCCAGGACCCUGGCAGCAGCAGAUCUAUGAGCCCACAUUUCCCCCUGCUUGUGAGGAUCACACCAAGAGAGACAUUCACAUCCUGGCCUCACAAAGAAGAGAUGGCAAAGUGGAAAAAGGCCGGAGUCCCCAACCCUGAGCCCUUUACCCUGUCUCAGUCUUUUAUAACGAGGUGUGUGUGCUUGGGCAAUGCCUCUCUCUUCUGGGACUCAGUGUACCCAUCUCUGCUGUGGGGAGGUUGGACUAGAUGAGAGUUUCCCAAACUCCAGUUGUUUCUUUCCCUCCCUCCACACCUGGAGAUCAGAACACCUGUACUAAAAAGUACUGAAAAUCUUUAUUCAAAUGAGCUCACUUUUUUUCAACCAAAAUAAACUUAUUUUAG